rnacentral:rRNA from 1 species
GACAGAGGGUGCAAACGUUGCUCGGAAUUACUGGGCGUAAAGCGCGUGUAGGUGGAUUGGUGUGUCAGAUGUGAAAUCCCUGGGCUCAACCCAGGAACUGCACCUGAAACUACCAGUCUUGAGUGGUGGAGAGGGAAGUGGAAUUCCUGGUGUAGAGGUGAAAUGCGCAGAUAUCAGGAGGAACACCGGUGGCGAAGGCGGGGUCUCUGGGCCUUACCUGACGCUGAGGAGCGAAAGCGUGGGUAGCGAACAGG